AGAGUUUGAUCCUGGCUCAGGAUGAACGCUGGCGGCGUGCCUAAUACAUGCAAGUCGAGCGAGAAUCUUCAGAAACAAUUCUUCGGAGGCGUUUCAGAAGAGGAAAGCGGCGGACGGGUGAGUAACGCGUAGGCAACCUGCCCCUGGCAGAGGGAUAGCCAUUGGAAACGAUGAUUAAAACCUCAUAACGCUGAAGCAGCACAUGCUGCAUCAGCCAAAGAUUUAUCGGCUGGGGAUGGGCCUGCGUCUGAUUAACUAGUUGGUGAGGUAACGGCCCACCAAGGUGACGAUCAGUAGCCGACCUGAGAGGGUGAUCGGCCACAUUGGAACUGAGACACGGUCCAAACUUCUACGGAAGGCAGCAGUAAGGAAUCUUGCACAAUGGGGGAAACCCUGAUGCAGCAACGCCGCGUGAACGAUGAAGGCCUUAGGGUUGUAAAGUUCUGAUCUGUGGGAAGAAGAAAGUGACGGUACCACAGGAGAAAGCCCCGGCUAAAUACGUGCCAGCAGCCGCGGUAAU
rnacentral:rRNA from 1 species